rnacentral:tRNA from 1 species
GGGGCUACGGUUCAGUGGUAGAGCAUAUGCUUUGCAUGCAGACGGUCUAGGUUCAACCCCUGGCAUCUCCA